rnacentral:tRNA from 1 species
UCCCUGCUGGCUCAGUUGGUAAAGAAUCUGCUUGCAAUGCAGGAGACCCAGAUUCAACCCCUGGGUUGGGGA